GAUGAACGCUGGCGGCGUGCUUAACACAUGCAAGUCGAACGAUGAAGCCCAGCUUGCUGGGUGGAUUAGUGGCGAACGGGUGAGUAACACGUGAGUAACCUGCCCUUAACUCUGGGGUAAGCCUGGGAAACUGGGUCUAAUACCGGAUAGGAGCGUCCACCGCAUGGUGGGUGUUGGAAAGAUUUAUCGGUUUUGGAUGGACUCGCGGCCUAUCAGCUUGUUGGUGAGGUAAUGGCUCACCAAGGCGACGACGGGUAGCCGGCCUGAGAGGGUGACCGGCCACACUGGGCCUGAGACACGGCGCAGACUCCUACGGGAGGCAGCGGUGGGGAAUAUUGCACAAUGGGCGCAAGCCUGAUGCAGCGACGCCGCGUGAGGGAUGACGGCCUUCGGGUUGUAAACCUCUUUCGGUAGGGAAGAAGCGAAAGUGACGGUACCUGCAGAAGAAGCACCGGCUAACUACGUG
rnacentral:rRNA from 1 species